rnacentral:misc_RNA from 1 species
CAUGAUACUUGAUAUGGACUUGUGCCCAGAUGAUACAGAUUCUUAUAUUGAUAGUGAAGUCUCAAGGUAUCAAAAUGAGGAUACCAGAAGGAUAAUUAUAAGAUUGGAACAGUGUGCUCAAUCAUCCAUACAAAGAGCCAUUGCAUCUCGGGGUGCACUUGCUGUCUUGUAUGGGCGCCAUUUGAAGCAUUAUAUAAGGGAAACUGAGGUCAUACUUGGCAGAGCAACGGAUGAUAUGGAAGUUGAUAUUGACUUAAGAAGAGAAGGACCUGCCAACAAAAUAUCCAGACAGCAGGCACUCAUAAAAAUGGAAGCAGAUGGUUCCUUCUUCUUGAAGAAUCUGGGUAAGAUUCUUGUAUCUUUGAAUGGCGAAGAAGUUGCUACUGGACAGAGUAUGAGUCUUGGUUCAAAUAGUUUGAUUGAGAUUGGGGGAAUGGCAUUUGUGUUUGAAAUUAACAGAAAAUCUGUAGGGCAGCACCUGGCAAAUGCCUCAAAAAUCUGCCAACAAAACAACAUCAAAUUUGAAUGGUCAGAAGGAAUUUCAUGAGUAAAGAAAGC